AUUGAACGCUGGCGGCAUGCUUUACACAUGCAAGUCGAACGGCAGCGCGGGCUUCGUCCUGGCGGCGAGUGGCGAACGGGUGAGUAAUGCAUCGGAACGUGCCCAGUAGUGGGGGAUAGCCCGGCGAAAGCCGGAUUAAUACCGCAUACGACCUGAUGGUGAAAGCGGGGGACCGAAAGGCCUCGCGCUAUUGGAGCGGCCGAUGUCGGAUUAGCUAGUUGGUGGGGUAAAGGCUUACCAAGGCGACGAUCCGUAGCUGGUCUGAGAGGACGACCAGCCACACUGGGACUGAGACACGGCCCAGACUCCUACGGGAGGCAGCAGUGGGGAAUUUUGGACAAUGGGGGCAACCCUGAUCCAGCCAUGCCGCGUGCGGGAAGAAGGCCUUCGGGUUGUAAACCGCUUUUGUUAGGGAAGAAAUCCUCUGGGCUAAUACCCCGGGGGGAUGACGGUACCGGAAGAAUAAGCACCGGCUAACUACGUG
rnacentral:rRNA from 1 species